GGAUUUUGUUUUCCACCAAGAACCCUGACUGGUAAGCCUUCCUUAUCAGCAUUACUAAAGUACAGAGAAGAAAUAUGCCAUUUUGUCUUGUGGAUGGAAAAACACCGUGAUCAUACCUGACAGUAAUGAAGCUUUUAUAAAAUGCUGUGGAGGAGGAGCUGAGUUACAAAGCUCUUCUCAGCAAGUCUUCGCUGGGGGUGAGAAGCACACCAACCCGCACAGGCAAACUGACGUCUUUUUGAUUCUUCACAAUGAGUCACUGAAGAUGCUGCUAUUUUUCCUUGAUAUUCACAGUAUUCAGAUAUGUAUUCUAUACUCUGUUUGUGCUUCCCUCUUACCCCUUAAUUAUUUAUUCAACACGUGUGAUGAAUACACUUAUUCAUCAAAUAUAUUUUGUACCUACUGGUACCAGGCCUUGUGCUAGAUGUUUUGGAUAUAGCAAUGAAUAAGGAAGAGAGAAUCUACUGUAUUGUACAAAUAAACAAAAAUGUAUACUAUAAUGAUAAAUGCUAUAAAUGGAAUAACUAUGGUUAUAGGACAGAAUAAUUGGAUCAGAGGGAGUCAGGCUACUUUAGAGGGGUAUGCAGGGAAGGCCUAAGACUGCGACACUUGGAGCUCGAGAUGAGACUUUCCCUGGCACAGGGCUUUGCUUCUCAAUUGUGAAACUACAGUGGUUGCACUCAGCAGCUGCGCAGCUGGCUCUCUUGCACCUCCUACAGCUUGAUGUGUGUGCAGCAGUCUCCUUUCCUGGAAGCUUUAGAUUUGGACUCCUCACUGGGCUGUUUGUGUUCUCAUUUUGAAGGGAAGCAGGCAAGAAACGAAUGUAUCCUGUACCCAGGAGAGCAGCCAAGUGGCAGGCACUGAUACAUGUCAAAUGAGAUAGAUGGAUGGAUGGAUGCUUGGGUUUGGAAAACCAUACCAUCCAUCUUCUCACUCGCUUCUUCCACCUUUCAUUUGGCACUGAAGCAGGAUGAAAAUGAGCUAGUUGUUUUGCUUGUCAUAAGAAGAAAGCAUUUAAGCAUGAUCUCAUAAUUUUGCCUUCUUCCCCUUCCUCCAAUCAUAUCAAACAGAGACUGGGAAUAGAAAUGAGUAAAGUGGAUUGGGUUUUAGAGGCAACGGGAAAAGGAUGGACGAUGGUGAACAGUAAAACGCAUGCUUGUCCAAUGUGGCAGGGGUGGUCUUAUUCUAAGCUGCUGUUAUCAUAAGGAAUUUUGAAACAACAUUUUCACUGCUUUAGAUUUUAAAGAGAACUCGGAACUUGUUUUUCAUCUAAAAACUCCUUUUUAAGGACUUGAACAGGCAUUUCUCCAAGGAGGACAUACAGAAGAUCCAAAGACACAUGAAACAAUGUUCAAUAUCGCUAGCUAUCAGAGAGAUGCAAAUUAAAACUACAAUGAGAUACCACUUC